rnacentral:rRNA from 1 species
CUUAACAUGAAGUGAAGCAUGUAAACCUGCUGAAUUUAAGCAUAUAAGUAGGCGGUGGAAAAUGAACCAAAUGGGAUUCCUUAAGUAAUUGCGAAUGAACAAGGAAAUGCUCAGCUUGAAAAAUGGGGCCUUUGGCUUUGAAUUGUAAUUUUGAAAUGUAUUGCCAAUGGAGGCGCAGGUGCAAGCCUAUUGAAAGAAAGCGUCAAUGAGGGUGAGAUUCCUUUUUGUCAUUUGCAGUCCUCCGUGCACGGUAUAUAUUUGACGAGUCACACUCCUCGGCAUUGGAAUGCAAAGUGGGUGGUAAAUUCCAUGUAAAGGUAAAUAUAUUAUUGAGACUGAUAGCAAACAAGUACCAUGAGGGAAAUAUGAAAAGGACUUUGAAAAGAGAAUUAAAAGAGUCUGCAUUUGCUGAACAGAAAGCAAACAGAAUUGAUUUUACUUGGUGAGAUUGUUGUGCUUACUCUAUCAUUUAUAUGGUUGAUGUGGGUGCGAUGGUUCUUACCUUGAAUGUCAGCUUCUAUUUCUGCAAAUCAUUACCCUUGCACAUGAAUGGUAAUUUGCCUGCGGGUAUUGGAAUGCAUGUGUUUGCAAUGAUUUGUGAUUUGACGCAUGUGUUUGGUGAAAUUUGUAUAUGCUCUUUUGUCGAAGGGGAAAGCUUACUUUUUUGAGCAUUGCAAGCCCUUACACAUCAGUGCUGGCAAAAUGUUUCUGCUUGACCCGUCUUGAAACACGGACCAAGGAGUCUAACAGAUGUGCAAGUUCGUGGGUGGCAAACCUUUUUGCGCAAUGAAAGUAUUGGCUGGGAUACUUGCACCAGCAGCCGACCAAUUAGCAGACAGAGGUU